rnacentral:rRNA from 1 species
GACGAACGCUGGCGGCGUGCUUAACACAUGCAAGUCGAACGGAAAGGCUCCAGCUUGCUGGAGUACUCGAGUGGCGAACGGGUGAGUAACACGUGGGUAAUCUGCCCUGCACUCUGGGAUAAGCCUGGGAAACUGGGUCUAAUACUGGAUAUGACCUUUCUCCUUAUGGGGUUUGGUGGAAAGUUUUUCGGUGUAGGAUGAGGCCGCGGCCUAUCAGCUUGUUGGUGGGGUGAUGGCCUACCAAGGCGACGACGGGUAGCCGGCCUGAGAGGGUGAUCGGCCACAUUGGGACUGAGAUACGGCCCAGACUCCUACGGGAGGCAGCAGUGGGGAAUAUUGCACAAUGGGCGGAAGCCUGAUGCAGCGACGCCGCGUGAGGGAUGACGGCCUUCGGGUUGUAAACCUCUUUCAGCAGGGACGAAGCGUAAGUGACGGUACCUGCAGAAGAAGCACCGGCUAACUAUGUG